GAUGAACGCUGGCGGCGUGCCUAAUACAUGCAAGUCGAGCGGACCAAAGAGAGCUUGCUCUCUGAGGUUAGCGGCGGACGGGUGAGUAACACGUGGGUAACCUGCCUGUAAGACGGGGAUAACUUCGGGAAACCGAAGCUAAUACCGGAUGAUAAAGAGAAACGCCUGUUUCUUUUUUGAAAGUCGGACUUGUGCUGACGCUUACAGAUGGGGCCGCGGCGCAUUAGCUAGUUGGUGAGGUAACGGCUCACCAAGGCGACGAUGCGUAGCCGACCUGAGAGGGUGAUCGGCCACACUGGGACUGAGACACGGCCCAGACUCCUACGGGAGGCAGCAGUAGGGAAUCUUCGGCAAUGGACGAAAGUCUGACCGAGUAACGCCGCGUGAGCGAUGAAGGCCUUCGGGUCGUAAAGCUCUGUUGUCAGAGAAGAACAAGUACCGGAGUAACUGCCGGUACCUUGACGGUACCUGACCAGAAAGCCACGGCUAACUACGUGCCAGCAGCCGCAGUAAGAC
rnacentral:rRNA from 1 species